GCCUGCGCCGUCAGACUUGUUGGGGCUGCGGGGCAGCUGCCUGAGCGUGGGGGCGGGGAGCGGCGGUCCAGGUGUACCGAGUGAGCUGCGCGCAGUGGAUGGGUUGAGUAAAACAUUUUGGCUGCACCUUCAUUCCUGGUCUUCCUGGACACCUGGACUGUAGGAAUACAGAUAUGCCAGAAGCUCAGGAAUUGACCAGAUGGAGACAAUGGAGGGGCAGACAAACCAAUAA